CCUACGGUAGGCUGCAGUGAGGAAUAUUGGUCAAUGGGCGAGAGCCUGAACCAGCCAAGUCGCGUGAGGGAGUACUGCCCUAUGGGUUGUAAACCUCUUUUGUCGGGGAGCAAAAGCCGGACGUGUCCGGCUUUGAGAGUACCCGAAGAAAAAGCAUCGGCUAACUCCGUGCCAGCAGCCGCGGUAAUACGGAGGAUGCGAGCGUUAUCCCGAUUUAUGGGGUUUAAAGGGUGCGCAGGCGGAUUUUUAAUUCAGCGGUCAAAUCGUGGGGCUCAACCCCAUCCAGCCGUUGAAACUGGGGAUCUAGAGUGUGCGAGAGGUAUGCGGAAUGCGUGGUGUAGCGGUGAAAUGCAUAGAUAUCACGCAGAACCCCGAUUGCGAAGGCAGCAUACCGGUGCACAACUGACGCUCAGGCACGAAAGCGUGGGUAUCGAACAGGAUUAGAUACCCUUGUAGUC
rnacentral:rRNA from 1 species